GGCAAGAGCUCAAAUUUGAAAGCUGGCUCCUUCGGGGUCCGCAUUGUAAUUUGCAGAGGAUGCUUCGGGUGCGGCCCCUGUCUAAGUACCCUGGAACGGGUCGUCAGAGAGGGUGAGAAUCCCGUCUGGGAUAGGGUGUCCGCGCCCGUGUGAAGCUCCUUCGACGAGUCGAGUUGUUUGGGAAUGCAGCUCUAAAUGGGUGGUAAAUUUCAUCUAAAGCUAAAUACUGGCCGGAGACCGAUAGCGCACAAGUAGAGUGAUCGAAAGAUGAAAAGCACUUUGAAAAGAGAGUUAAAAAGCACGUGAAAUUGUUGAAAGGGAAGCGCUUGCGACCAGACUCGCCCCCGGGGUUCAGCCGGCAUUCGUGCCGGUGUACUUCCCCGAGGGCGGGCCAGCGUCGGUUUGGGCGGCCGGUCAAAGGCCCCUGGAAUGUAGUACCCUCCGGGGUACCUUAUAGCCAGGGGUGCAAUGCGGCCAGCCUGGACCGAGGAACGCGCUUCGGCACGGACGCUGGCAUAAUGGUCGUAAACGACCCGUCUUGAAACACGGACCAAGGAGUCUAACAUCUACGCGAGUGUUCGGGUGUCAAACCCGUACGCGCAGUGAAAGCGAACGGAGGUGGGAGCCCCCUCGCGGGGCGCACCAUCGACCGAUCCUGAUGUCUUCGGAUGGAUUUGAGUAAGAGCGUAAAUGUGGGGACCCGAAAGAUGGUGAACUAUGCCUGAAUAGGGCGAAGCCAGAGGAAACUCUGGUGGAGGCUCGCAGCGGUUCUGACGUGCAAAUCGAUCGUCAAAUUUGGGUAUAGGGGCGAAAGACUAAUCGAACCAUCUAGUA
rnacentral:rRNA from 1 species